rnacentral:lncRNA from 1 species
CAUUAGGCAGAAACAAGCCCUCAUGGGAGUUCAUGGCCCUCAUGUUUGGCAUUAUGAAUGGAAUGCAUGGGCAACACUUAGGCUGGGAUAAUACGAAAUGGAAAGUUGCUUCCAGAGCACGAUAAAUAAGAGCCCUUUUAGGUUAGUCCUCUUUUCUCUUUCUAACCCAAACUUCCCCUCCCCGACUUUAGAAGAGACAACAUACUCUUGAGGCGACCUGCUCUAGGGUCACCACACACAACCUGGACCACCUGGGCAGAAUUGCUAAAUCUGACUCAGAAGACAGAAUCCUCCCUGGCUGACCCAAACUCUAUACCCAGUGUCACUCAUCGAAAUCCAGGGAAAAUUGUUAUUUUUGGGUCAUAGUCACUUGCUCUCAAUCACCUGUCACAGUUGAUAUUUACUGAAGACCCAGGGUGGGCAGGGGACCCUUGGGGUACACCAUGGUGAUUGGAGAAGAAACCUGAGGGCGUCUUCCACAGGGACCCCUGGGCCCCGAGCCAGAGGAGCUGGGCUUUCUCCGGUGGGGUUUGGAUGGAUCCGGGUAAGUUGCAACAUGAGCUAUUUCAAACAGUGGUUGUUUUGCAGAAUUUGGGUUUUCCCCCCGGGGCCCAAAGUCAGCUGCUCCCUCCAAUCCUCUCACUCUCUCAUUCUCUUUCUUUGACACCGAGUCCUAGACUUUGGUUUCUCAGAAGUUUUAAAAGUCAUACUGGAAAGUUGGCCAAACAAAAACCUCUCUGACCAGAAGCAAUUGGCUUCCCCUUAAACAAGUCCCCCAAAGUUAAAUUACAAAGCGGGUUUGUCCCUUCGUUAGCAUUUGGCAAGGAUCUAGGAUGUGAAAACACUUCCCAUUUGAUUCGAUCAUAAUUUAGAAGAAAUAGUGCAAUUUUUGGCCUUUCACCACAUGUGGAAGUGUUUUCCUGUUGCUAUACCCGGCUGACAGUGUUAUCACAAGACCGUCCUUCUCCCGCACUGAGCUCCCCCAGCCCUUCGGAAACGGGAGAGUCGCACUUGAGGGGUCAGGAGCAUCCUGGGGCAGGUCAGUCUCACCACAUGAUGGGUCAGGUCCACAAUGGGAGAUGACAGCCGUGUCAGAGGGAGCACAGGCCCUGAGCCAGGCCAGGAGACCUAGUCUGUGGUUCUGGCUUUAUCGUCGACGCUGUGUGUGCCUUGUGUGAAAUCCUCUCCUCUCUCUGUAAUCCCAUUUCCUCACUCAUGAAAGGUAUGUUGUUAUUCCAGAGAAUGGCUCCACCAGACCAUGCAGGCAAAUCUACACUUGACAUGGAGUGGGGUCCAGUUUAGAGCUCUCAUUGGUUCAAAAAAUAUUAAUUGAGCUGUGCUCUAUGCCACCCUCUGCGUGGGUGGAAGAGACAUGAGCACCUCAGCGAGGACGGCUGAUCUCCGGAGAUUUGCUUCCCGGGGGAAAGACAGACAGCACCCAGUCAGCAAUGUGCAGGAUCCUCUCAGAUGGUGACACUGAGCUCCGAGAAGAACACAAAGUAAGACAAUGGGAUGGAGAUCAGGAAGCCAGCCGGCAGGAAACCUGGGCCAGCCCUUCCACCAACCAGGGCUCCGCUGUGAGCAGCCCCCAGCCCAGUUGUAUAUUCUAGUUGCAGGUCCUUCUAGCUCUGCUGUGUGGGACGCCACCUCAGCAUGGCUAAUGAGCAGUGCCACAUCUGUGCCCAGGAUCCGAACCAGUGAAACCCUGGGCCACCAAAGUGGAGCACAUGAACUUAACAACUUGGCCACGGGCCGGCCCCUGCUGCAGUGUUUUUUAAGGUUUGGGAUGAGAUCC